rnacentral:tRNA from 1 species
GCCGAGGUAACUCAGUUGGUAGAGUGUUUCCCUGAAGAGGAAAAAGUCGGCGGUUCGAAUCCGCCCCUCGGCACCA